rnacentral:rRNA from 1 species
GACGAACGCUGGCGGCGUGCUUAACACAUGCAAGUCGAACGGAAAGGCCCUGCUUUUGGGGGGUGCCCGAGUGGCGAACGGGUGAGUAACACGUGAGUAUCCUGCCCUUGACUUUGGGAUAACUUCAGGUAACUGGGGCUAAUACCGGAUAGGAGCUCCUGCUGCAUGGUGGGGGUUGGAGAGUUUCGGCGGUUGGGGAUGGACUCGCGGCUUAUCAGCUUGUUGGUGGGGUAGUGGCUUACCAAGGCUUUGACGGGUAGCCGGCCUGAGAGGGUGACCGGCCUCAUUAGGACUGAGAUACGGCACAGACUAGUGCGGGAGGCAGCAGAGGGGAAUGAUGCACUAUGGGCGGAAGCCGGAUGCAGCAACGCCGCGUGCGGGAUGACGGCCUGCGGGUUGUAAACCGCUUUCGCCUGUGACGAAACGUGAGUGACGGUAAUGGGUAAAGAAGCACCGGCUAACUACGUG